UGCGAUUCCACUUUGAUCGACUCAGCCCUUCCUCUUUGAUCUCUCUGAAAUUAUCUCUAGAUCGACCAAGGAUCUCCGGGCCACCAUUAUCACAGGUGAGUCUUUUGACUGAAAAUGGAAACACCAAGGAUGAUUUGAGGCUCCCCACUGAUGAUGCUCUGCUCCCCACUGAAAAUUCUAGCCAUGACUGGUAUAUUUCUUUAGCCAGGUGGCUGAAAUUUCUAUAAAUGAUUCCAACCAUAGAGCCCUUAACACAUGUUAAAGGCAUUUAUCCAUGUGUUUAGGUACUCCACAGUAAAAACAAACUUGGGCCGAGCUUAAUUUUAUGCUAACAGUCCCACCUGUUUGCAGUCACCACUGCAAAUAGUACAUACUUCAUUGACUUUGAUCAGUUAGUGUACUUUUUCUGUUGGGUAAUUUUCUUGUUUGGAAAUGUUGGAAAAGGCAAUAGCAACUCCUCCAACUGUUUCACCAAUAUGGUGUUCCCCAUUACUUGAGCCAGAUGAACAUGGCAUUAGUGAAUCGUCUUCACAGUUGCUGAUAAUAUAUUAGUGAAUCGUCUUCACGCUUCAUGCUCCAUUGUCUACUCACUUAUCUGUGCCGAGCUUCUUUAUUUUUGAAAAACCUUGUUCUAUGUUUUUCUUUGAAGGAUGUUUACAUGUACUUCCGUGGCAGUGGCAAAGCAGCAGAGAUGAAGCGUGAGGCUGCAAAACGGACAAUGAUGGCUGCGCUGCCAUGAUUCAGAAAGAUUCUUUGGUUUGACAAUGCUGAGAGAAAUCGAAACAUUCACUAUUUUUUUGUCUAGUAUUUAUAAGCCUUCAUAUAAUCUUCUUAAAAUAUGUUUGUAAAAGACAGAUUCUGACAAACAAGUUUAAGUUAGGACAUGUUGUGGUACAUAUGUCCUUUUUGGAAAUUAAUUUGGUUAGUCCUGUAUUAUGUAUGACAUGAAAUUAUUGACGUUGGAUUAGACUUGGUUCG